rnacentral:rRNA from 1 species
UGCCAGCAGCCGCGGUAAGACGAACUGCGCAAACGUUAUUCGGAAUCACUGGGCUUAAAGAGUGCGUAGGCGGUCUGGCAAGUGGGGUGUGAAAUCCCUCGGCUCAACCGAGGAACUGCGCUCCAAACUGCCAGACUUGAGGGAGAUAGAGGUGAGCGGAACUGAUGGUGGAGCGGUGAAAUGCAUUGAUAUCAUCAGGAACACCAGUGGCGAAGGCGGCUCACUGGGUCUCUUCUGACGCUGAGGCACGAAAGCUAGGGGAGCGAACGGGAUUAGAUA